UGUGAGUUUAACACUUCAUCACUGACACACACAACAAUCUUCAUCAACAUGACCUUCAUCAUCAUCUUCAUCUGGACACUUUCAUACUGCUUUAUACUACAAGGGUGUAAAGCUCAGAUCACAGUCACUCAGACUCCUUCAGUGAAACCUGUCACACCAGGAGAAAAUGUAGAGAUGAGCUGUAGAUUUAGUUCUGCUCCAUCCUGCAGCCCACCCUGUGUGUCCUGGUACUUACAGAAACCUGGAGAAGCUCCUAAACUCCUGAUUUAUUUGACCAAAAGUCUCAAGUCAGGAACUCCAUCUAGAUUCAGUGGCAGUGGAUCUAACAGUGAUUUCACUCUGACCAUCAGUGGAGUCCAGACUGAAGAUGCUGGACAUUAUUACUGUCAGAGUUAUCACAGCAGUGGUAGUGGUGUGUUCACACAGUGA